rnacentral:rRNA from 1 species
GAUGAACGCUAGCGGCAGGCUUAACACAUGCAAGUCGAGGGGCAGCGCGGGAUAGCAAUAUCCUGGCGGCGACCGGCGGAAGGGUGCGUAACGCGUGAGCGACAUGCCCGUUGCCCGGGGACAACCGGUGGAAACGCCGACUAAUCCCCGAUGGGAUACGAUGCUUCAUGGCAUUGUAUUGAAAGUUACGGCGGCGACGGAUUGGCUCGCGUCCGAUUAGCUUGUUGGCGGGGUAACGGCCCACCAAGGCUACGAUCGGUAGGGGUUCUGAGAGGAAGGCCCCCCACAAUGGGACUGAGACACGGCCCAUACUCCUACGGGAGGCAGCAGUGAGGAAUAUUGGUCAAUGGGCGGAAGCCUGAACCAGCCAUGCCGCGUGCGGGAAGGAGGCCCUAUGGGCUGUGAACCGCUUUUGCCUGGGGGCAAUAAGGGCGUCGCGCACGUC